rnacentral:tmRNA from 1 species
GGGGAUGUAAAGGUUUCGACGGGGACUUUGAAUCACGAUAAGCGGGUAGAGGAGCGCACACUCUCAAAACGGCGCACGUUUUAAAAUUAGACGACAACAAUAAUUUUGAAUUAGCAGCUGCUUAAUUGCUGCUCGUCUUGCCGUUGAGUACCACGGCUUCGGUUAAGGCGUCGACUAGUGGUGAACGCCGCAGGAAAGUGCCUGCGUUCUUGCGGUGUAUUGCAGGCUACCGAGCAUCAUUGUGUGUUUGUUCACGAUGAUGCGAGGGAACGUUAAUAACAAACUACACCCGUAGAAAGUUGUGUGGAUAGGUUUUCGGACACGGGUUCGAUUCCCGUCAUCUCCACCA